ensembl:miRNA gga-mir-7462 gga-mir-7462
CAACCUCAUUUCUAGCUUCUGGAGUGCCACUUGAAGCCUGGAAGCUUGAAAUAAGGUUGAA